AAAAGCCCUCAGUCCCCGGCCGUGCCCGGCCGCCGUCUGUGUGUGUCAGCGUUUCCAUGACAAAACUCGGAGGAAAAAAAUACGAGUAAAAUCGCCUCGGUGCUGCCACCCACUCCUGCCGGCGUGUGAAGAGGGAAGUGACGGGGAGCGGGUGGGACACGGGAAGAGCAGGUCCAGCGGAAUCCUUGGUUUCCUGCGAAUCCCUGGUUAGGGUAGCCUGGAAGUUACCCCAAGCCCCCAGGGAGCGAGUGGCCUUUUCCUGUAGCUCUGAACCGAGCGGUUUCGGUUUUUUUCUUUUAAACGACAGCCCAGCAUGAGCGACCUUUUGGAAAGGGGUUAAAGACGGCUGACUUGAGGUCAGGGUUAGGAAAACUACAUAACCCUCAGGGGUCAGGCGACAGCUGAGCUUUCCCGGGGGUUUAUGCAGAGUCUCUGACACCCACCCCCCUCAACAGGGCAAAAAGGGUUUUCUGGAUUUUCGAAGUUUGAUUUCCCAAAGGGGAGAGCUCCCUCCAAAUCCUCCAAAGUGCAAAAAAAGUCAGCGCAGUGGAUGUGAGAGGAUGCCCCCACGAAGUCACUCCUCCUGGUACAACCAACCACUGGAAAAAACCAAGCCCGCUUUAGCACUGGCAGUCAGGACGGAUGAGGUUACACUGCAAUAACAAACAAGCCCUAACUUUAAUGGCUUAAAACAUCCAGGGCUGAGGUCUCACUCCAACACCUGUCUGCCAUGGGUCAGCAGAGGGGCUGAACAUGUGGAAUACCUCGUACAGGAAGAGGCUUAAGCAGCACCCCGCUAGAACAUUGCCUGGGGAAAGGAGGCCUCACCCCAACAAUUCAGUGAUCCAGCCCAGAAAAGGCACGUGUCACUUCUGCUCAUCAUUCAUUGGCCAGAACUACUCAUAUUCUGCUCUACAUCCCAUCCAGGCCAGGAAGUCAGAAAGCCCAAAGCAUUUGGAAACUGUCUUCCUGACUGCAGCCCCCUGUCCCUCUUCAGACCUUAUUUUCCCUCGUCUUUCUAAAUACCCUUUCACCUCCGAGAGCUUCAGCACAUCGGCUCUGGGCUCAUCAUGGGGCCUGGCUAACCCUUGGUUGAUCGUGAGGCAUGAAUCUUACUCUCCAAAUGAAGCAACAUAUACAAAUUAAAUUGAGGCUCUGUCAAUUUCAAACUGCUGGUGUGGCCCCUGAAAACCAUGUUGAGGAGAAAGUUCUGUGUAUGUGGAUGAUCUUGGAAAAUUCAGAGGAGAGAAAGAUGCAACAUCAGAAUUCCAGCUUGUGUGUGCCAUCAGCAGUGAACCAGCAGAUCUUUACCAAGCCCUCCCAUACCUGCAGGCUGAGUUCUACCUCAUUCCUGUAGGUGACACCUUCAAUGUACAGUCUUGUUAAGAUCUUGCAGAACUGGCCGCCAAUUUCUGCACUUUUUUGGAAGGAGAUGUGGGCUCAAGGCACUUGUAGACAGAGAGCUCUUUAGCAUCCUUAGAGAAGGCGGGGGUAAUGUCUUCAGCCAACAUCAGCCAGGAGCCCCAGACUGGCUCCUCCCAGGAUGGGCUCUGCCCAUUUGCAUCUCUCUGGAACCUCCAGCACAAAGUACGCUCAGUUAACCAGAGCACGGUAAAUAUUUGUGGAGUUGAAUCAGAAACCAUUUGCCUACAGCAUGUGGAGACCUUAGGGUACCACUCUUCUCCAGUUUAGGCCCAAGAGACUCCUCUCCCUCCGUUAGAGAGGAAAGACAUCUGUUGGACCCUCAGACCCUCGGGCACUACCCCAAGCUCCCUUCAACUGCCUUCGGUGGCCUCUGCCACCCUCCCUGUCUCCACCCACAGCCCAGAAAUCAGCUCCCCAAGAUGCUCAUCUCUCUCAAGGAUUUCUUAACUGGUGGUCCCUGGUCAACUCCCAAACUCCCAUCCAGAUGACCUAGAAGCUCUUCAGCUCCAGUCAGAUGGUCCUGCCUCUGCCGACCCCAGGGACCCGUCUCCAGUGUGGCCACAGGGGAAGCCAGAUGUGUACAUGGUGUCCUCAGUGCUUUACACAUUUUCCCUCACCACAAGCCUCCAGAUGGGGCCAUUCUUCCCGGUUUACAGAGGAGGAAACUGAGGCAGAGAAAGGUGACACACCCAGGGUCACACAGCUGGUGCUGGCAGAUCCAAGGUCGAAAAGCUAGAAAGCAACCAGCGGCAGGGACUCCAGGGUCCCCUCUCUUCUCCUUCCAGACUGCCAGUCAGGCUGAGGGCUCAGACCAACCAGGUGGGUCUGUGUGACCUGAGGCAGGUCAUCUCAUCCCUCUAUACCCUACCUUCUCUGCCUAUAAAAUGAAGGCAGCUAUAGCUGCGGCAAUGGGCAGGACACCAGAGAGGGUGACAUGGCACUCAGCGACUGUUGGGUGACUUCCCUGGUUUUGUUUUUUUUUUCCUUUUCACCUCUGCUAGCCCCUCGGUAUGCCCCUUCUUAGUGACAUUAGCAUUUCUGGAACCCACUUUGACAUCACAACAUGGUAAUUUAUUGAAAUAGUCAUUUGCUUUUGCUCUCCUGGUAUUCUUCACUUCUCUGCUCCUCCAUUUCAAGCAGGCUUUGUGCUCCCUUGCCUCAGGGAUUUGAUAAAGACAUUCUUGGGGGCAAAAAUUCUGGAAGAGGUAAUGCUGAGCAGUAUCCUGUAGUAUCGAUUUCCUACAAUUCAUCCAUUGAUUGAUAGGCAUUUGCACUUUUUCCAGUUUUCAACUAAUCUGAAUGACACGAUUCUGCAAUGCAUAUUUACGUAAAAGUCUUUGUAUGGACAAAUGUUUUCAUUAUCUUGGGCAACCAUCUAAGAUGCUCCAUGAGCCUGUGCCUUCUUCAAAGUGACUAUACCCUUUUGCCUUCCCAUCAGCCAAGUAGGAGAGUCCCACCUCCUUGCCAACACUUAGUGCUGUCAGUAUUUUUGAUUUUAGCCAUUCUACUGAGUGUGUAGUAAUAUCUUACUUAGUCUUAAUUUCACUUCCCUGAUGACUAGCGAUGUUGAACACCUUUUCAUGUGUUUCUUGAUCAUUCAGAAAUUUUCCUUUGUAAAAUAUCUGUUCAACUCUUUCACCAGUUUUUUAAAAUUGAGUGAUUUCUCUUUUUUCAUUAGUUGUAAUAUUAUUAAAUUACUUAUGUUUUCUGAGUAUCAGCUCUUUCAGAUAUAUGGUUGGUAUAUAUUUAAUCUCAAUCUGCUUGCCCUUUAGUGUUUCUUCACUGUGCCUUUUGAAGGGCAAAAGUUUUCAAACCUGAUAAAGUCCGUUUUAUAAA